CAGAUUGUUUUCUGUAACCUGAAAACUGUGUUCACUCAAAAUAGAUCUCUUAUAAUCACAGGUUAGGAGAGCAUUAUUAAACGCAAAACUCAGCCCUCUGGGAGCUGGUGGAACUCACCCUCUAGAGAUUUUUUUCCUGCAGAAAAGGUUUCGUUACGGACACCCUGGAAUACUGUUUGGAAAGACAACAAGAGAAAAGAAGCUGCAUCCAUCGACUUGCUUUCACUGGAUGAUUUGGAUUUGGAAGCAGAGCCGGCUUUGCCUUGCUGUGUGAAGCAGAGAACCCCACGUCGCUGCAAUGGCGCCCGGCACGCUGCUCGCUCACCUCCGCGCUGACUGCAGCACCUCUGCUCCUUCACAGCACCCUUUGCUUCUGAGUGGCCUUGUCCCAUUCCCAGAUCCUAUUUCCCUUACCAUGGAAAGCGAAUUAAAAAGGCUGGUGGGGAAGAUAAAGGAUCCUGCUGUUCAGUGGGUGUAUGCGAUGGAAAGUUGCUACCUCCCCUCCCUGUGCCUGCUGCUUUUCCCAUCCG
rnacentral:lncRNA from 1 species